UUUUAGCCCCGAUAGGAACGGCAUCCUUUUGCUUUUUUUCUUUAAAAAAGCAAAAGAUAUAGUGGAUAGCGGGAGUGGCU
rnacentral:sRNA from 1 species